rnacentral:rRNA from 1 species
CUCGUAGGUGGCUUUGUAAGUCAGGUGUGAAAGCCCACGGCUCAACCGUGGAAUUGCACUUGAUACUGCAUCGCUAGAGUAUAGGAGAGGGAAGUGGAAUUUCUGGUGUAGGAGUGAAAUCCGUAGAGAUCAGAAGGAACACCCGAGGCGAAGGCGACUUCCUGGACUAUUACUGACACUGAGGAGCGAAAGCGUGGGGAGCAAACA